GACGAACGCUGGCGGCGUGCCUAACACAUGCAAGUCGAACGGGGAAAGAACGCUGAAUUGAUGGUAGCUUGCUACCGGAUUUUCUUGUUUUUUCCUAGUGGCGGACGGGUGAGUAACGCGUGAGUAACCUGCCUUACAGAGGGGGACAACAGUUGGAAACGACUGCUAAUACCGCAUAACGUAGCGAGAGGGCAUCCUCUUGUUACCAAAGGAGCAAUCCGCUGUAAGAUGGACUCGCGUCCAAUUAGAUAGUUGGUGGGGUAACGGCCCACCAAGUCGACGAUUGGUAGCCGGACUGAGAGGUUGAACGGCCACAUUGGGACUGAGACACGGCCCAGACUCCUACGGGAGGCAGCAGUGGGGGAUAUUGCACAAUGGGGGAAACCCUGAUGCAGCAACGCCGCGUGAAGGAAGAAGGUCUUCGGAUUGUAAACUUCUGUUUUUAGUGAAGAAACAAAUGACGGUAGCUAAAGAGGAAGCCACGGCUAACUACGUGCCAGCAGCCG
rnacentral:rRNA from 1 species